GCAGUGCAUUGUGGGAUACAGUAUUUUGCACAGUGUGCUUUAAUUGCAUGCAGUACAUUUUGUCAGCGUACAAACUGUCCACAGUAUACUAUAUAUUGCAGAAAUACUAUGGUACUUUGCUAUUCUGAGUACAGCCUUACUGUUGCAUAUAAUACAUACUGUCUAAUCAGCACAGUAAGUUAGUGUUUUAUUGUGUAUUUUAAACACUGAACAAUAAUAUCAUGCAAAGCAUGUAUUACUAAUUAUGUAAAUAUAAUUUUCCUUUUCAUGUGAGACUUGACCAGAUCCUGAAAUCACAAAGCUGCAGACUCCGAGAGCAGGAAUGAACUGGAGGAAGGGGGCGUGGCCUGUUCCGUGAUAGUGUGUGACAUCCAUCCAAAAGCUCCAGGUGUGAGGGAUGGAAAGAAUGACCCCUGGUCAUGUGACAGCUCUGCAUCUUCCUCUGACAGUGAAGA
ensembl:lncRNA